AGUGAACGCUGGCGGUAGGCCUAACACAUGCAAGUCGAACGGCAGCACAGGAGAGCUUGCUCUCUGGGUGGCGAGUGGCGGACGGGUGAGGAAUACAUCGGAAUCUACUCUGUCGUGGGGGAUAACGUAGGGAAACUUACGCUAAUACCGCAUACGACCUACGGGUGAAAGCAGGGGACCUUCGGGCCUUGCGCGAUUGAAUGAGCCGAUGUCGGAUUAGCUAGUUGGCGGGGUAAAGGCCCACCAAGGCGACGAUCCGUAGCUGGUCUGAGAGGAUGAGCAGCCACACUGGAACUGAGAGACGGUCCAGACUCCUACGGGAGGCAGCAGUGGGGAAUAUUGGACAAUGGGCGCAAGCCUGAUCCAGCCAUACCGCGUGGGUGAAGAAGGCCUUCGGGUUGUAACGCCCUUUUGUUGGGAAAGAAAUCCAGCUGGCUAAUACCCGGUUGGGAUGACGGUACCCAAAGAAUAAGCACCGGCUAACUUCGUGCCAGCAGCCGCAGUAA
rnacentral:rRNA from 1 species